rnacentral:rRNA from 1 species
CCUACGGGGGGGGCWGCAGUAGGGAAUCUUCCGCAAUGGGCGAAAGCCUGACGGAGCAAUGCCGCGUGAGUGAUGAAGGUUUUCGGAUCGUAAAGCUCUGUUGCCAGGGAAGAACGUCCUUAAGAGUAACUGCUYAAGGAGUGACGGUACCUGAGAAGAAAGCCCCGGCUAACUACGUGCCAGCAGCCGCGGUAAUACGUAGGGGGCAAGCGUUGUCCGGAAUUAUUGGGCGUAAAGCGCGCGCAGGCGGUCAUUUAAGUCUGGUGUUUAAUCCCGGGGCUCAACCCCGGAUCGCACUGGAAACUGGAUGACUUGAGUGCAGAAGAGGAGAGUGGAAUUCCACGUGUAGCGGUGAAAUGCGUAGAGAUGUGGAGGAACACCAGUGGCGAAGGCGACUCUCUGGGCUGUAACUGACGCUGAGGCGCGAAAGCGUGGGGAGCAAACAGGAUUASAUACCCNKAGUAGUCA